CUGAAUACAUUUUAACCUCAUAACUGUCUACUCCAAUUGCACCAAUUUUUCUUUUUGUGGAAGUUUACUCUGAGGCCAGAGCUUAAUUCGAAACAUCUUAAAAUAGCCUUGAUAUUUUGUACAUUUGAUUCGCAUACAAAAACGGUGUCAUCAGCAAAUUGGAGUAGAUUCACAUUCACCUUUUUAUCCUCGACUUUUAAUCCCGAA
rnacentral:lncRNA from 1 species